GAUGAUGCAGCGGCACCGCAUGGUGACAGUUGUUAAAUCCCGCAAGGGGCCUAUUGACGAGCCUGCGUCUGAUUAGCUAGUUGGUGAGGUAACGGCCCACCAAGGCUACGAUCAGUAGCUGGUCUGAGAGGAUGAUCAGCCACACUGGAACUGAGACACGGUCCAGACUCCUACGGGAGGCAGCAGUGAGGGAUAUUGCGCAAUGGCCGAAAGGCUGACGCAGCGACGCCGCGUGAAGGAUGAAGUCCGUUAGGAUGUAAACUUCUUUUGCAGGGGAUGAAUGUUCCGGUUUCCGGAAUUGACCGUACCCUGCGAAUAAGGAUCGGCUAACUACGUGCCAGCAGCCGCGGUAAUACGUAGGAUCCGAGCGUUGUCCGGAUUUACUGGGUGUAAAGGGCGUGUAGGUGGGUCUCUAAGUCGGUGGUGAAAGCCUGCAGCUUAACUGCAGAAUUGCCAUCGAUACUGGAGGUCUUGAGUGCGGCAGAGGGAGAUGGAAUUCAUGGUGUAGCGGUGAAAUGUGUAGAUAUCAUGAAGAACACCGGUAGCGAAGGCGGUCUCCUGGUCCGUAACUGACACUGAGGCGCGAAAGCGUGGGGAGCAAACAGGAUUAGAUACCCUGGUAGUCCACGCCUUAAACGAUGGGUACUCGGUGCUGGGCCGCAAGGCUCAGUGCCAAAGCUAACGCAUUAAGUACCCCACCUGGGGAGUACGAUCGCAAGGUUGAAACUCAAAGGAAUUGACGGGGGCCCGCACAAGCAGUGGAGCAUGUGGUUCAAUUCGAUCAACGCGAAGAACCUUACCCGGAUUUGAAAGGCCAGCGACAACCGAUGAAAGUCGGUCUUGUAGCAAUACACGCUGGUACAGGUGCUGCAUGGCUGUCGCCAGCUCGUGCCGUGAGGUGUUGGGUUAAGUCCCGCAACGAGCGCAACCCCUGCACUUAGUUGCCAUCAGGUCAAGCUGGGCACUCUAAGUGGACUGCCUACGCAAGUAGUGAGGAAGGUGGGGAUGACGUCAAGUCCUCAUGGCCCUUACAUCCGGGGCCACACACGUGCUACAAUGGCCACUACAAAGGGUUGCAGAGCCGCGAGGCGAAGCUAAUCCCAAAAAAGUGGUCUCAGUUCGGAUUGGAGUCUGCAACUCGACUCCAUGAAGCUGGAAUUGCUAGUAAUCGCUGAUCAGCACGCAGCGGUGAAUACGUUCCCGGGCCUUGUACACACCGCCCGUCAAGCCAUGGAAGCUGGGGGUACCCGAAAC
rnacentral:rRNA from 1 species